UACGAAGGGGGCUAGCGUUGCUCGGAAUCACUGGGCGUAAAGCGCACGUAGGCGGGUCUUUAAGUCAGGGGUGAAAUCCCGGAGCUCAACUCCGGAACUGCCUUUGAUACUGAAGAUCUUGAGUUCGGGAGAGGUGAGUGGAACUGCGAGUGUAGAGGUGAAAUUCGUAGAUAUUCGCAAGAACACCAGUGGCGAAGGCGGCUCACUGGCCCGAUACUGACGCUGAGGCACGAAAGCGUGGGGAGCAAACAGGG
rnacentral:rRNA from 1 species